GAUGAACGCUGGCGGCGUGCCUAAUACAUGCAAGUCGAGCGAACGGACGAGAAGCUUGCUUCUCUGAUGUUAGCGGCGGACGGGUGAGUAACACGUGGAUAACCUACCUAUAAGACUGGGAUAACUUCGGGAAACCGGAGCUAAUACCGGAUAAUAUUUUGAACCGCAUGGUUCAAAAGUGAAAGACGGUCUUGCUGUCACUUAUAGAUGGAUCCGCGCUGCAUUAGCUAGUUGGUAAGGUAACGGCUUACCAAGGCAACGAUGCAUAGCCGACCUGAGAGGGUGAUCGGCCGCACUGGAGCGGAGACGCGGUCCAGACUCCUACGGGAGGCAGCAGUAGGGAAUCUUCCGCAAUGGGGGAAAGCCUGACGGAGCAACGCCGCGUGAGUGAUGGAGGUCUUCGGAUCGUAAAACUCUGUUAUUAGGGAAGAACAUAUGUGUAUGUAACUGUGCCCAUCUUGACGGUACCUGAACAGAAAGCCACGGCUAACUACGUG
rnacentral:rRNA from 1 species